AUACGUAGGGGGCGAGCGUUGUCCGGAAUGAUUGGGCGUAAAGGGCGCGUAGGCGGCCCGGUAAGUCUGGAGUGAAAGUCCUGCUUUUAAGGUAGGAAUUGCUUUGGAUACUGUCGGGCUUGAGUGCAGGAGAGGUAAGUGGAAUUCCCAGUGUAGCGGUGAAAUGCGUAGAGAUUGGGAGGAACACCAGUGGCGAAGGCGACUUACUGGACUGUAACUGACGCUGAGGCGCGAAAGUGUGGGGAGCAAACAGGAUUAGAUACCCUGGUAGUCCACACUGUAAACGAUGAAUGCUAGGUGUAGGGGGUAUCGACCCCUUCUGUGCCGCAGUUAACACAAUAAGCAUUCCGCCUGGGGAGUACGGCCGCAAGGUUGAAACUCAAAUGAAUUGACGGGG
rnacentral:rRNA from 1 species